rnacentral:rRNA from 1 species
CUAGCACGCCAGGAGCCGCAGUCCAGCAUGGACCAGUCCUCCACUGGUUUGUGCGUGCACCGACCCGGGCGGGCGUUCGCGGCGAGAGGACGAGGUCUGCCAAACGCAGCGCAUCCUUCGUGGGAACGGUGCCCGGAGACAGAUGAAGGGACUAGGUAAAGGGAGAGAAGAGCGGGACAAGAAAGGGGUUUAGGCUGCUGUUCUCUGUUGGCGACGGCGCUGCGUCGGCUUCUGCCCCCCGUCCCUUCCCCUUCCCGACCUCGCGCCACCCCUGGGCGAAGAGCAGCGGCCGCAUCCAUGCCAGCGGGCAAGCCGACGAGGGACGGGUUGGUCUAGGUCGGGGUAGCAGCAACAAGGAGCGGCAGCAGCUGCCCUACGCCGGCAGCAGAUGAAGGAGACGGGCUCCCUACCUUUGCAGCCGUGACCUCAGCACCGGCACCGCCCCUUCCGCCUGGGUCGCGUCGAGACGGUCACCGAGUUCUCCUUCUAUUCGUUCCUACAGUUCUAAAAGGCGGCAACAGGUUUGCCCGACUCUUAACAUUAUUCGUCCAUACGUAGGGAGAACAGAUGAACAUGACGUCUUACUUCCUGCUACACACAUUAUAGGUUUACUUACGUGCGAUAAUGCUUCCCGAUCGGCACACCCCAAUUCCACGAGCGGCCGCCGCUGGACGCACCGAGAGCCGGACGUAGGAGUGACUUGAGUUGUGGUUGAUAGCGCGCGGGCGCUACACUGACGACAACGUUGUUGCUGCCGGUUGCCGAUAACUUGCUGCUCCUACGGGAAGCCCCCAAUAUCGUACGUUUCGUUUCGUCAACGAGCUAUGAGUGUCGGUUAUAUAGAGGCACAUCUUCGUCUUCUUCGUCGUGAACUAAGCAUUCGUUGUUAAAAUAGACAAAGCAAGGAAACAUAAAAACGGGAGACAAAGAUGACUAACAUACAUAGUGAAAAAGUCUAUAUAACUAGAAGUGUAAGAAUCAACCGUAGGCAUCACCAACAUCAACAUGUGUAUCGUCAAGAACCAACCUAUGCUGUUAAUCUUUCAACGUGUUGUGAUUUGGAAAAAGGAUGCCGCCACUUUCACCUUGCCUUAUGUAACUUGACUUAUGUGUACCGCUAGUAAAAACCGUAAAUAUCAUUAAGAACAACGUGUGUAUCAACAAAAGCAGUCUCUGCUAGUAAUGAUAUCAUCAACAUCAACGUGUAUGUCAACAAGAGUCAACCUAGGAUAAUAACUUUUUAACGUGUGUACCGUUAGUAAAAAACAACCGUAGAUAUCAUCAAGAUCAACGUGUGUAUCAACAAAAGUCAACCUGUGCUAGUAACCUUUUAAUGUGUGUGCCGCUAGUUAAAACCCACCGUAGAUAUCAGCAAGAUCAACGUGUGUAUCAACAAAAGUCAACCUAUGCCAGUAACCUUUCGACGUGUAUACCACUAGUAAAAAACAACCGUAGAUAUCAUCAAGAUCAACGUAUGUAUCAACAAAAGUCAACCUGUGUCAGUAACCUUCAUCAACCGUCCCCGUUAUCUUCAUCAACGUGUCUUAGACGAUCCGUUUUGAAAUACCACCGCUUUCUAAGGAGAAUCAUUUAGACGUCUCUUCUUUACACGCGCGCCUCCGUCAUAGAUUUCCCCAUCUACGGUGUAGAAGACGUCGUCGGCGACACCAUUGUAUUUCAAGAUAGUACUUAUGAAAAAUGAGGUGUAUGUCCGUCGGUUCACAUACUUAAAAGUAUGUACCAACGUCUUCCUGAUUAAUUCGUAACCGUACGAGAUGAAAGAGUCAACGAGUUGCAACGGUAGAAGUUCAAAAAAUCUUAACAGGGUUCUCAUACAUUGCUGAACCGUAGGAGACCGAAAGAUCAACGUCUUAUUAUAGAUUAAUCAACCGUUGGAGCCAUUAAGAUUAACGUGUUGUUAUUGAUCAACUGUAGGAGUAGAAGAGAUCAACGUGUUCUUGAGUCUAAUCAAGGUAGAAUUUUUUUUACUCCUAAAGGGAUAUCAUACAUCGCUGAACUGUGGGAAUCCGAAAGAUCAACGUCUUCUCAUAGAUAAAUCAACCGUGGGAGCCGUUAAGAUCAACCUGUUAUAAUAGGUUCAUCAACUAUACGAGUCGGAGAGAUCAACGUGUUUUUAAGUCUAAUUAGGGUAGAAUUUUUUAAACUCCUAACGGGUUGCCAUAGAUUAGUGAACCGUGGGAGUCCGAAAGAUGAACGUCUUCUAAUAGAUAAAUCAACCGUGGGAGAUGUUAAGAUCAACCUGUUGUAAUAGGUUCAUCAACCGUAGGAGUCGGAGAGAUCAACGUGUUUUUAUAGAGUAAUCAACCGUAGUAGUCGUAAAGAUCAGCGUGUUCUUAUAGAGUAAUCAACAGUAGUGGUCGUAAAGAUCAACGUCUUGUUUGUCCUAUAGUUCAACGGUAGGAGUUGUAAAAUUAGAUCAAAAGGUCUCUUGUUUAUAAACAUACAUUACUAUUGAUUAGUGGAAACGGAAAAAAACGUUUGGGGCUCUAUAACAAGGUCCUUUACUCUCAUUACUUCGUAUAUUACAACUUGCUAUCAGUGUUCGACCGAUGGACUACCUCUGAUGCGACCUAUGGACUACAAACUCAACCUAUCUUAUGUACAAAAUCAACCGAUAUUAUGUACCCAUGGACGUGUGUUGGAACACAUACGAACAACGUGUGUAGGUCCCCUUUUUACCGAUAAAUUGGUACAAAUCAACGUGUCCCUUGAUGUAGUUGGAAAAAACAUGAUACUACGUAAAAAAGUGGGCACCUAUACAAACAAACCUGUGUAGGUACACUUUCAACCAAACUUUGGUACCAAAAGAACGUGUCCCUUGACUUAAAGAAUACGAAAAUGAACUAGAAGGAAGAGUUUUAGUACCUCAAAAAAAAUGAACUAAACCCUCUAAAUCUCCCUUUCCCGUUCCCUCUAUCAGUUGUUCCAAACGUGUACCCUCUCCUCUUCCUAAAGAAUGGAACCGCAACGAACCAUUCGAAGAGAAGAGAAGAAGGACAAAAAGACUGGUUCUAGAGGAGUGGAACCAACGAAACGGUACCGUCGAGAUGUCCUAGACCAAGUACCGUAACCUAGACCAAAGAAAGUACU